rnacentral:rRNA from 1 species
CCUACGGGUGGCAGCAGUGGGGAAUAUUGGACAAUGGGCGAAAGCCUGAUCCAGCCAUGCCGCGUGUGUGAAGAAGGCCUUCGGGUUGUAAAGCACUUUCAGUGGGGAAGAAAGCCUUGGGGCUAAUACCCUCGAGGAAGGACAUCACCCACAGAAGAAGCACCGGCUAACUCCGUGCCAGCAGCCGCGGUAAUACGGAGGGUGCGAGCGUUAAUCGGAAUUACUGGGCGUAAAGCGCGCGUAGGCGGUCUGAUAAGCCGGUUGUGAAAGCCCCGGGCUCAACCUGGGAACGGCAUCCGGAAAUGUAAGGCUAGAGUGCAGGAGAGGAAGGUAGAAUUCCCGGUGUAGCGGUGAAAUGCGUAGAGGUCGGGAGGAAUACCAGUGGCGAAGGCGGCCUUCUGGACUGACACUGACGCUGAGGUGCGAAAGCGUGGGUAGCAAACAGGAUUAGAUACCCGUGUAGUC